GAUGAACGCUGGCGGCGUGCCUAAUACAUGCAAGUCGAGCGAACAGAUAAGGAGCUUGCUCCUUUGACGUUAGCGGCGGACGGGUGAGUAACACGUGGGUAACCUACCUAUAAGACUGGGAUAACUUCGGGAAACCGGAGCUAAUACCGGAUAACAUUUGGAACCGCAUGGUUCUAAAGUGAAAGAUGGUUUUGCUAUCACUUAUAGAUGGACCCGCGCCGUAUUAGCUAGUUGGUAAGGUAACGGCUUACCAAGGCGACGAUACGUAGCCGACCUGAGAGGGUGAUCGGCCACACUAGAACUGAGACACGGUCCAGACUCCUACGGGAGGCAGCAGUAGGGAAUCUUCCGCAAUAGGCGAAAGCCUGACGGAGCAACGCCGCGUGAGUGAUGAAGGGUUUCGGCUCGUAAAACUCUGUUAUUAGGGAAGAACAAAUGUGUAAGUAACUGUGCACGUCUUGACGGUACCUAAUCAGAAAGCCACGGCUAACUACGUG
rnacentral:rRNA from 1 species